rnacentral:tRNA from 2 species
GUGGACGUAGUAUAAUGGUCAUUAUGUGUGCUUGCCAAGCAUAAGAUGGGGGUUCGAUUCCCCUCGUUCACUCCA